UACAGAGGUCCCAAGCGUUGUUCGGAUUCACUGGGCGUAAAGGGCUCGUAGGUGGCCAACUAAGUCAGACGUGAAAUCCCUCGGCUUAACCGGGGAACUGCGUCUGAUACUGGAUGGCUUGAGUUCGGGAGAGGGAUGCGGAAUUCCAGGUGUAGCGGUGAAAUGCGUAGAUAUCUGGAGGAACACCGGUGGCGAAGGCGGCAUCCUGGACCGACACUGACACUGAGGAGCGAAAGCCAGGGGAGCAAACGGG
rnacentral:rRNA from 1 species